GUUGAUCCUGCGGGAGGUUGCUGCUAUUGGGAUUCGACUAAGCCAUGCAAGUCAGGGGGGUCUUCGGACCACCGGCAAAAGGCUCAGUAACACGUCGAUAAUCUGCCCUUAGGUCUGGGAUAACUUCGGGAAACUGAGGCUAAACCCGGAUAGGAAAAAAAUCUGGAAUGAUUUUUUCUUAAAAGUAAUGCCUAAGGAUGAGUUGGCGGCAGAUUAGGCUGAUGGCGGGGUAACGGCCCACCAUACCUACGAUCUGUAGGGGCCUUGAGAGAGGGAGCCCCGAGAAGGGUACUGAGAUACUGACCCUAGCCCUACGGGGUGCAGCAGGCGCGAAACCUUUACAAUGCACGAAAGUGUGAUAAGGGAAUCCUGAGUGCUCAUGUUUUACAUGGGCUUUUGUCAAGAGUAAAUAUCUUGGCGAAUAAGUGGUGGGAAAGACUGGUGCCAGCCGCCGCGGUAACACCAGCGCCACGAGUGGCAACCCCGAUUAUUGGGCCUAAAGCGUCCGUAGCCGGUUUGUUAAAUCUUGUGUGAAAUCGUUGGCCUAAAUCCAACGGCGUGCACGAGAGACUGGCAAACUAGGGACCGGGAGGAGUUAGAGGUAUUUUUGGGGGAGCGGUAAAAUGCUAUAAUCCUAAAAGGACCACCUGUGGCGAAGGCGUCUAACUAGAACGGAUCCGACGGUGAGGGACGAAAGCUAGGGGAGCAAACCGGAUUAGAUACCCGAGUAGUCCUAGCUGUAAACUCUGCGAGCUAGGUGUUGCGUAUUCUUCGUGAAUAUGCAGUAUCGAAACGAAGGUGUUAAGCUCGCCGCCUGGGGAGUACGGUCGCAAGGCUGAAACUUAAAGGAAUUGGCGGGGGAGCACUACAACAGGUGCGGCGUGCUGUUUAAUCUAAUCAACUCAGAGAGUCUCACCAGGGGCGACGGCAGGUUGACGGUCAAGUUAACGGCUUUACCUGACGAGCCGAGAGGUGGUGCAUGGCCGCCGUCAGCUCGUGCCGUAAGGUGUCCUCUUAAGUGAGGUAACGAGCGAGACCUGUGCCUACAAUUGCUAGCAGUUCUUUCGAGGAGUCUGAGCACAUUGUGGGGACUGCCUUCGAAAGGAGGAGGAAGGUGCAGGCUACGGUUGGUCUGUAUGCCCCGAAUCUCCUGGGCUACAAGCGCGCAACAAUGGCCGGAACAAUGGGCUGCUACUCCGAAAGGAGGUGCUAAUCCUCGAAAUCCGGUCUUAGUUUAGAUCGAGGUCUGUAACUCGGCCUCGUGACAACGGAAUCUGUAGUAAUCGGGUAUUAUCAAUGCCCGGUGAAUAUGUCCCUGCUCCUUGCACACACUGCCCGUCAAGCCACUCGAGCAGGGUUUGGGUGAGAUUCACCUUUUUUGGGUGUCUCGAAUCUAAGCUCAGUGAGAAGGGCUAAGUCGUCACAAGGUA
rnacentral:rRNA from 1 species